UGGAGCUGAUGGGAAUUGAACCCACGUCCAUUUAAACUUUUUUAAUAUACUUUUUUCACAAGCAUAGUUCUGAAGAACAAAAUAGAUUUUUAGUUUAGUCUAAACUAUAUGACAUAAAAUGUCUAAUAAUAGUGAUAAAAUAUUGGAACAAAAUAAUUAUUACACAGCAAAUUUUAAUAAAUUUGACUGAUUAGUUUUAUAAAUAGAAUUUAUAAAAGUUGAAACGGAUAAAAUUAAAUUUUUAGCAGUUAUUUUAAGUUUUUAUAUUUUUUUUCGAAGAUUAUAAACUUCGACUUGAUUCGUAUAUUAAUAAAAUUUAGAUGUCGAAACCAAAGCAGCCCC
rnacentral:tmRNA from 1 species